GUGUUUGCUUUGGCAGCACACAUACUAAAAUUGGAAUGCUACAGAUAUCAGCAUGGCCCCUGUGCACGAAUGACACACAAAUUCAUGAAGCAUUCCAUAUUUUU
ensembl:snRNA U6 U6 spliceosomal RNA